rnacentral:rRNA from 1 species
AUUGAACGCUGGCGGCAUGCUUUACACAUGCAAGUCGAACGGCAGCGCGGGCUUCGGCCUGGCGGCGAGUGGCGAACGGGUGAGUAAUGCAUCGGAACGUGCCCAGUAGUGGGGGAUAGCCCGGCGAAAGCCGGAUUAAUACCGCAUACGACCUGAGGGUGAAAGCGGGGGACCGAAAGGCCUCGCGCUAUUGGAGCGGCCGAUGUCGGAUUAGCUAGUUGGUGGGGUAAAGGCUUACCAAGGCGACGAUCCGUAGCUGGUCUGAGAGGACGACCAGCCACACUGGGACUGAGACACGGCCCAGACUCCUACGGGAGGCAGCAGUGGGGAAUUUUGGACAAUGGGGGCAACCCUGAUCCAGCCAUGCCGCGUGCUGGAAGAAGGCCUUCGGGUUGUAAACCGCUUUUGUUCGGGAAGAAAUCCUCUGGGCUAAUACCCCGGGGGGAUGACGGUACCGGAAGAAUAAGCACCGGCUAACUACGUG